GACGAACGCUGGCGGCGUGCUUAACACAUGCAAGUCGAACGGAAAGGCCCUGCUUUUGUGGGGUGCUCGAGUGGCGAACGGGUGAGUAACCCGUGAGUAACCUGCCCUUGACUUUGGGAUAACUUCAUGCAACUGGGGCUAAUACCGGAUAGGAGCUCCUGCUGCAUGGUGGGGGUUGGAAAGUUUCGGCGGUUGGGGAUGGACUCGCGGCUUAUCAGCUUGUUGGUGGGGUGGUGGCUUACCAAGGCUUUGACGGGUAGCCGGCCUGGGAGGGUGACCGGCCACAUUGGGGCUGAGAUACGGCCCAGACUCCUACGGGAGGCAGCAGUGGGGAAUAUUGUACAGUGGGCGGAAGCCUGAUGCAGCAACGCCGCGUGGGGGAUGACGGCCAUCGGGUUGUAAUGCGCUGUCGCCUGUGACGAAGCGUGAGUGACGGUAAUGGGUAAAGAAGCACCGGCUAACUACGUG
rnacentral:rRNA from 1 species